rnacentral:tRNA from 1 species
UCCCGGAUCGUCUAAUGGCAGGACAGGGGAUUUUGGUUCCCCGAAUGAGGGUUCGAUUCCUUCUCCGGGAG